GGCAUUGCCAAAGCAUGGCAUCAGGCAUAUUUUGGGGAAGGGUCUGGCCCAGUUAUGUUGGAUGAAGUACGCUGCACUGGGAAUGAGCUUUCAAUUGAGCAAUGUCCAAAGAGCUCCUGGGGAGAGCAUAACUGUGGCCAUAAAGAAGAUGCUGGAGUGUCCUGUACCCCUUUAACAGAUGGGGUCAUCAGACUUGCAGGUGGGAAAGGCAGCCAUGAGGGUCGCUUGGAGGUAUAUUACAGAGGCCAAUGGGGAACUGUCUGUGAUGAUGGCUGGACUGAGCUGAAUACAUACGUGGUUUGUCAACAGUUGGGAUUUAAAUUUGGUAAACAAGCAUCUGCCAACCAUUUUGAAGAAAGCACAGGGCCCAUAUGGUUGGAUGACGUCAGCUGCUCAGGAAAGGAAACCAGAUUUCUUCAGUGUUCCAGGCGACAGUGGGGAAGGCAUGACUGCAGCCACCGCGAAGAUGUUAGCAUUGCCUGCUACCCUGGCGGCGAGGGACACAGGCUCUCUCUGGGUGAGGACUGGCUGCAGCUCUCAAGUUUCCAUCUUUCAGUAGCCAUUGCACCUCUAACCACUGGCCUUGAAUAUGAAGUGUUUCUCAUCUUUGCCUUUUUUUGGGGUCUAUUUCCCAUAACUGUCUAAUUUUCAGUAAUUUUUAUGCAGAGAAAAAUAAUCUUUUGAGUCUCUGCACCAACAUUAUGAAAUUUCUACCCUUAAAUUGUUUUUCUUUACUUAGAAAAUUAAGUUCCUCGCUAACAAUGUUUACAAU
rnacentral:sRNA from 1 species